AAAAAGAUAUCGACAAAAUUCUUUUUACAAAUUGUUCGUUACAUCCUCAGGAAUUUUUGGCUAAUUUGGAUCGAAGCGAUUCGAUGAAAUUUUAUAGGAGUUAUCUACCUUUAUCAAAUAAAUUUGUCGUUAUGUUUUUGUUACUCAUAAACUGUAAGCCGUAUAAACCUAUAGUCUUUUUAUUUAAGGUCCUUGGAUCCUAACUUCGAAAAUGAGGUCAAGGUCAAAGGUCAAGGUCAUGUUCUGAAUUUUGUCUUUUGCUUGUUUUUGCAUUUUCUCCGAUAUUUUUAAUGUUAUAUAUUAAAGAACAAGUGCAAAA